CACCUUUCCUAGUACACCUCUGUGAAUGUCAGGAUCACUGUUUGAUCCAGCACGUAGAACUGUACAGCACGGAUGACAAAUAAGUAAUGUAUUACCGGUCCUUAGAAUGGCCGGAUUUAACGUACAGAGAAUAGUCAAAAAUACUAGCCGAGGUCAGGGAACACAGAAAGGGACACAGCGAUGAGGAAAGCCAGGAGUCAGGAUACCAGAAUAUAAAGUGCC